GGCGCCGUAGUGUAGCGGUUAUCACUCAAGAUUCUGAAAUGCACGCUUGGUUGUGGCGCUUAUCAUUCUUGUAACCCAAGUUCGAUUCUUGGCGGUGCCU